rnacentral:rRNA from 1 species
GGGUUGUGAGGUUAAGCGACUAAGCGUACACGGUGGAUGCCCUGGCAGUCAGAGGCGAUGAAGGACGUGCUAAUCUGCGAUAAGCGUCGGUAAGGUGAUAUGAACCGUUAUAACCGGCGAUUUCCGAAUGGGGAAACCCAGUGUGAUUCGUCACACUAUCAUUAACUGAAUCCAUAGGUUAAUGAGGCGAACCGGGGGAACUGAAACAUCUAAGUACCCCGAGGAAAAGAAAUCAACCGAGAUUCCCCCAGUAGCGGCGAGCGAACGGGGAGCAGCCCAGAGCCUGAAUCAGUGUGUGUGUUAGUGGAAGCGUCUGGAAAGGCGCGCGAUACAGGGUGACAGCCCCGUACACAAAAAUGCACAUGCUGUGAGCUCGAUGAGUAGGGCGGGACACGUGGUAUCCUGUCUGAAUAUGGGGGGACCAUCCUCCAAGGCUAAAUACUCCUGACUGACCGAUAGUGAACCAGUACCGUGAGGGAAAGGCGAAAAGAACCCCGGCGAGGGGAGUGAAAAAGAACCUGAAACCGUGUACGUACAAGCAGUGGGAGCACAGAGCAAUCUGUGUGACUGCGUACCUUUUGUAUAAUGGGUCAGCGACUUAUAUUCUGUAGCAAGGUUAACCGAAUAGGGGAGCCGAAGGGAAACCGAGUCUUAACUGGGCGUUAAGUUGCAGGGUAUAGACCCGAAACCCGGUGAUCUAGCCAUGGGCAGGUUGAAGGUUGGGUAACACUAACUGGAGGACCGAACCGACUAAUGUUGAAAAAUUAGCGGAUGACUUGUGGCUGGGGGUGAAAGGCCAAUCAAACCGGGAGAUAGCUGGUUCUCCCCGAAAGCUAUUUAGGUAGCGCCUCGUGAAUUCAUCUCCGGGGGUAGAGCACUGUUUCGGCAAGGGGGUCAUCCCGACUUACCAACCCGAUGCAAACUGCGAAUACCGGAGAAUGUUAUCACGGGAGACACACGGCGGGUGCUAACGUCCGUCGUGAAGAGGGAAACAACCCAGACCGCCAGCUAAGGUCCCAAAGUCAUGGUUAAGUGGGAAACGAUGUGGGAAGGCCCAGACAGCCAGGAUGUUGGCUUAGAAGCAGCCAUCAUUUAAAGAAAGCGUAAUAGCUCACUGGUCGAGUCGGCCUGCGCGGAAGAUGUAACGGGGCUAAACCAUGCACCGAAGCUGCGGCAGCGACGCUGAUGCGUUGUUGGGUAGGGGAGCGUUCUGUAAGCCUGUGAAGGUGUGCUGUGAGGCAUGCUGGAGGUAUCAGAAGUGCGAAUGCUGACAUAAGUAACGAUAAAGCGGGUGAAAAGCCCGCUCGCCGGAAGACCAAGGGUUCCUGUCCAACGUUAAUCGGGGCAGGGUGAGUCGACCCCUAAGGCGAGGCCGAAAGGCGUAGUCGAUGGGAAACAGGUUAAUAUUCCUGUACUUGGUGUUACUGCGAAGGGGGGACGGAGAAGGCUAUGUUGGCCGGGCGACGGUUGUCCCGGUUUAAGCGUGUAGGCUGGUUUUCCAGGCAAAUCCGGAAAAUCAAGGCUGAGGCGUGAUGACGAGGCACUACGGUGCUGAAGCAACAAAUGCCCUGCUUCCAGGAAAAGCCUCUAAGCAUCAGGUAACAUCAAAUCGUACCCCAAACCGACACAGGUGGUCAGGUAGAGAAUACCAAGGCGCUUGAGAGAACUCGGGUGAAGGAACUAGGCAAAAUGGUGCCGUAACUUCGGGAGAAGGCACGCUGAUAUGUAGGUGAAGUCCCUCGCGGAUGGAGCUGAAAUCAGUCGAAGAUACCAGCUGGCUGCAACUGUUUAUUAAAAACACAGCACUGUGCAAACACGAAAGUGGACGUAUACGGUGUGACGCCUGCCCGGUGCCGGAAGGUUAAUUGAUGGGGUCAGCGCAAGCGAAGCUCUUGAUCGAAGCCCCGGUAAACGGCGGCCGUAACUAUAACGGUCCUAAGGUAGCGAAAUUCCUUGUCGGGUAAGUUCCGACCUGCACGAAUGGCGUAAUGAUGGCCAGGCUGUCUCCACCCGAGACUCAGUGAAAUUGAACUCGCUGUGAAGAUGCAGUGUACCCGCGGCAAGACGGAAAGACCCCGUGAACCUUUACUAUAGCUUGACACUGAACAUUGAGCCUUGAUGUGUAGGAUAGGUGGGAGGCUUUGAAGUGUGGACGCCAGUCUGCAUGGAGCCGGCCUUGAAAUACCACCCUUUAAUGUUUGAUGUUCUAACGUUGACCCGUUAUCCGGGUUGCGGACAGUGUCUGGUGGGUAGUUUGACUGGGGCGGUCUCCUCCUAAAGAGUAACGGAGGAGCACGAAGGUUGGCUAAUCCUGGUCGGACAUCAGGAGGUUAGUGCAAUGGCAUAAGCCAGCUUGACUGCGAGCGUGACGGCGCGAGCAGGUGCGAAAGCAGGUCAUAGUGAUCCGGUGGUUCUGAAUGGAAGGGCCAUCGCUCAACGGAUAAAAGGUACUCCGGGGAUAACAGGCUGAUACCGCCCAAGAGUUCAUAUCGACGGCGGUGUUUGGCACCUCGAUGUCGGCUCAUCACAUCCUGGGGCUGAAGUAGGUCCCAAGGGUAUGGCUGUUCGCCAUUUAAAGUGGUACGCGAGCUGGGUUUAGAACGUCGUGAGACAGUUCGGUCCCUAUCUGCCGUGGGCGCUGGAGAACUGAGGGGGGCUGCUCCUAGUACGAGAGGACCGGAGUGGACGCAUCACUGGUGUUCGGGUUGUCAUGCCAAUGGCACUGCCCGGUAGCUAAAUGCGGAAGAGAUAAGUGCUGAAAGCAUCUAAGCACGAAACUUGCCCCGAGAUGAGUUCUCCCUGACUCCUUGAGAGUCCUGAAGGAACGUUGAAGACGACGACGUUGAUAGGCCGGGUGUGUAAGCGCAGCGAUGCGUUGAGCUAACCGGUACUAAUGAACCGUGAGGCUUAACCUUACAACGCCGAAG